UUGCCCAGAUACAACCUCCCCUCUAUCUAAAAAAAAAAUAGAAAAUACUACCUCCCCUAGAACGCGAGCCCCUUUUUCUCCUUGAUCCCACGCAACCUCCUCGUCUCGCUCGCUCUCCCCUUUCUCCGUUGCCCCACGCCGCGACAUCCCCCUCCCGUCAGCGAUGGAGGCCCUGCAACCCAUGGGGACGGUGACGGUGGCCUCACGGGGGUGGCCUCGUCGACAACCUCGACUGGGUGGACGAACCAACGUCGGCUGGUGUGCCCGGCGACGAGUUCCCGUAAUUGUUGGUCAUUGCUACCUAGACCAGAUGGGAGCACGACAAGAUCCGCCACCACUAACCUUGCGUGCAGGGAGCUCCUUUCCUUUCUCAUCCCUUGUAUUUCUCUUCCUUUGCUUAUUCUCCUCUGUUUCUGCCGUGGUGUAGCAGACCAUGGAGGACUACUGGAAGCGCACUUCGUGCAGUCGCCGGCUUGCGCAUGGACAAAGAGGAGGGAUUAAGAGGUUGGAGGCCAUGGAUGUUGGAGCCCACAAUAGAAUGUUCAUCUAUAGCAAGAAUGAAGAUAGUUCCCGCAAAAAAAAAACAAGAAUGAAGAUAGUUCAUCAGAAAAUCAAGCGAGGACUUUGAGAAAAUGGGAUUCCUUCUCCCUUUCUCCCUCUCUAUCACUACUGAUGAUCACAUGUUUCCCUCGAUUUUUAGUUUAUUUUGGUUAUCCGUGUCAUCGUGUGCUUUCAGUUAUAUUGUUUCCUAAAUGAAAAACAAAAGUUAGUAGGUGCUAUGUCUGAUCAUAUCUGUUUCAUGUGUUUGUUGUUCACACUGCUGGAAUUUUCUAAUGUUGUUUGUCUCAGGUUGUUCAUCUCAGCUUGUGAAUUUUAUAAUGUUGUUUGAUAACAGAUAAGUUUUCCCAGACAACUUCCAUGGGCAGAUUGUCAUUGACUCACUUGGUAUCUGGUACUUACUAGCAUACUUUUACUACUUAAGUGCUAAGAACAUUUUGAAUUAACUGAAGGUAGCUUGCUUCUGUUUUAUGGUACAUUCAUACUAAUUAUAGCUGACAGAAAAUGUGCUUUGUCAGCAUGAAGGUAAAAGAUGGGAAGGUAUAAUGCUCAUGGGCCUCAGUGCUACUAUCAUAUAGAGAUAACUGCUGCAAAGUUCAUAUAAUGGUCCCUGUUUCUUUUAUUGGAAUAUUGACAUUGUUUUCAAAGAUUCAAUUUAGUUGGAUUGAGUUUCUGUUUUAACUUUCUAACAUGUGCAUGCAGAUGAACUAAGAAUUAAAGGUAGUACUUAUUUAAAGUUUCUUUUUCCAUUGAAAUGUGCAGUUUUACACAUUUCUAUGCCCCUUUUCCUAUUUGUGUGCAUCAAACAGUAGAAAUCAAUGUUAAUAUUCUUUAUCUGCGAGCUAACUGAGAGGCAUGUCCUUUUUAUGUCAAGCUGAGAGUUCAAUUGUCACAAUGAAAUCUAGGGAACUAAGGCAGGAGAAUGGGAUUUCACAGGGUUGGGAAGCAGUCAAUUGGUGAUCAUCGAACGUGUCGGAACUUCCAAGGAAAUGUCUCUCUGUGGCUAAAAUACAUCGGUUUUCCCCUCAAGUCACUAAACUGCAAUGCGUAGUUGGUCGGUCACUGUCAAUUGAAUCCCAGAAUUGAAAUGUCUUGCCGUUUUACAAUUCUUGUUUUGCUUCACAAUCUUCUCUGUUAAAUAAACCUGUUUGUAUAUAUGAAACAACACCUUUUAGUAUCUAUGAAACUAGUACGCUUGCUCUGCUUUAUGAAUGAACACUUAUCUCCUGCA